UACGGGGGGUGCGAGCGUUGUCCGGAAUUACUGGGCGUAAAGCGCGCGCAGGCGGUCUUCCAAGUCAGUGGUGAAAGCCCGGAGCUCAACUCCGGAAUUGCCAUUGAAACUGUUGGACUUGAGGAUGAGAGAGGUGAGUGGAAUUCCCAGUGUAGAGGUGAAAUUCGUAGAUAUUAGGAAGAACACCAGUGGCGAAGGCGGCUCACUGGUCCGGUACUGACGCUGAGGUGCGAAAGCGUGGGGAGCAAACAGG
rnacentral:rRNA from 1 species